rnacentral:rRNA from 1 species
GAUGAACGCUGGCGGCGUGCCUAAUACAUGCAAGUCGAGCGAACGGACGAGAAGCUUGCUUCUCUGAUGUUAGCGGCGGACGGGUGAGUAACACGUGGAUAACCUACCUAUAAGACUGGGAUAACUUCGGGAAACCGGAGCUAAUACCGGAUAAUAUUUUGAACCGCAUGGUUCAAAAGUGAAAGACGGUCUUGCUGUCACUUAUAGAUGGAUCCGCGCUGCAUUAGCUAGUUGGUGAGGUAACGGCUUACCAAGGCAACGAUGGAUAGCCGACCUGAGAGGGUGAUCGGCCACACUGGAACUGAGACACGGUCCAGACUCCUACGGGAGGCAGCAGUAGGGAAUCUUCCGCAAUGGGCGAAAGCCUGACGGAGCAACGCCGCGUGAGUGAUGAAGGUCUUCGGAUCGUAAAACUCUGUUAUUAGGGAAGAACAUAUGUGUAAGUAACUGUGCAGAGCUUGACGGUACCUAAUCAGAAAGCCACGGCUAACUACGUG